rnacentral:rRNA from 1 species
GGGCCCGCACAAGCGGUGGAGUAUGUGGUUUAAUUCGAUGCAACGCGAAGAACCUUACCAGGGUUUGACAUCCUGCGAAUCUCUUGGAAACGAGAGAGUGCCUUCGGGAACGCAGUGACAGGUGGUGCAUGGCUGUCGUCAGCUCGUGUCGUGAGAUGUUGGGUUAAGUCCCGCAACGAGCGCAACCCACGUCUUUAGUUGCCAGCAUUUAGUUGGGCACUCUAGAGAGACUGCCGGUGAUAAACCGGAGGAAGGUGGGGACGACGUCAAGUCCUCAUGGCCCUUACGGGAUGGGCUACACACGUGCUACAAUGGCAGUGACAAUGGGUUAACCCCAAAAAGCUGUCUCAGUUCGGAUUGGAGUCUGCAACUCGACUCCAUGAAGUCGGAAUCGCUAGUAAUCG